UCAGUUACGUUCCGAGUCGCGACAAGUGCAUAUUGUGCCGCCCGAUCCAACCGAUCGGCGGCUAGAUAUGGAGCACCCAGUGUGGAGGUGGCGGUGCCUACGUGUAGCUACUCCGACAUGGAGCCAUCCGAAACCCCUUCCGGGCAGCGAAUUACUUGGGCCAAGGGAAUGCAAACUGUGAUCAUCCCGAAAGUUUGUUCGUUUGGCUUAAGUUAUUUUCAUGUCCGACUAAAGCGCCACGUGGUGGAGAUCGGAUAUACAAGGUGGAUAUGGUGGCCACCUCCCAAGGAAGUUGUCUUUCGGUCUGCUAACAGCUCGAGUGAACUAAUGAGUUGGCCACGCUUGGUGAUCCCAACUGGGUACGUCAGCAGGUGAGGAUCGGGGGUGGGUCUGAACCCCAUGAGCAGCGCCUCCUCGAAGGCCCAUCGAUCUGGAAUGAUUAGCCUGGCACUGAUACCGAGAAGCGACGUGAUUCGCUCCGCUCCCAAAUAGCAGACGCCGGCUGAUUAAAUCCGCCGCCAUACUCGGCUUCCGUUUGGGUUUCGGAGUCCGACUCCGACUCCGACUCCGAAUCCGAAUCCGAGUGGAGAACUGCUCUUCGGCUGGGGCUGGGGCUGGGAAUCGGAUACUCCACUUGGUGCGCUGGCACGGUCGCUCGGGGCCGUAAACCCAUUAUCACUAUAUUGGUUGUACGAUUUGCGGAUCCGUCGCCAGUUGGCCGACUGUAAAAUCUGAUUUCUGUAGACGUGUCGUCGCUUUGCCCCAACCGAUUCGAUACGGCUGGGGAAACUGACUUGGGAACGAGAUAAGAGCUCUGGGAACUCUGGGAGCACCGAAAGAAAAACAUACACAGUGUGCUGAUCAUUUCGAGGAAUUAUCUUACCACCCAGAAACUUAUUUGAUAUGUCGAUGAUUAUACGAGCUGAUGAUUGAAGAUAUAUGAAGUAGGUAUAUUGAAGGUAUCUUUUUUAUCUAUUUUCUUCCAGUGCAGUGGGGUGGCAAAGGGCUUUGUGGGUAGGGCAAACGUGGCACUCUCUCUAUAAGGUAAAAAGGUAGCCGAAGCCAAACUGAUAAUUGUGCAACGUACACAAACCUUGCUCGCAUUGCUCCACUUGCUUUCGGUUUAUCAGUUGGAGUGACAAGCGGAAAUUAAAGUUGAAAUCGACACGAUUAUUUCAUUAGUUCUGUUUGCGAAGGGCCGAACAAGUGGGCGGAGUGAUCCGAAAGGUCGGAUCCGAAAGGCAGGAGCUGGCAAGGUCACCCGGAUGUUUAUAUUCGGCAGUCUAGUUGCCGAUUGACGGAUUGAUUGUCAGUGGCCAUAACUAACCAAUUAGCGAUUGCCAUUCGUAGCAGGCAAAGCCAGGCACAUCUUCGGAUGGUUGGGUCGGGUGGGUCACCAGCUGGCCCGGGUGCUCCAAGGUGAAACGCAGCCAGAAAUAAGUGCGCCCAGCCAAGUCGAGUUAAGCUGAAGACUUGGACCCAAUUCGAUCAGGUGCAAGCGACAGAAACAGCGAAGAUGGCAUAGACAAACAGAGGCCACGUUUUCGUUGGGGGAGUACAGUGAAGCCUCCAAGCAGGACCCCUCCUUUCGAAGAGAUCUUAGAUCUUAGAUCUUGAUCUUAGAAAUAGUUCGAUUAAGGCUAAUAGAAAUCAAAGCUCUGGCUGAGAUCUGGGAUCGGAUGGAUGGACUGGUCGCCUUUAAGGACCUUCCACUGUUCGAGGGCACGAGUGGAGCCCUGGGAAGAUGUCAUUGGUUUGGACGUGGACGAAAGCGAAAGGUGUAGACGGAGACAGAACUUCAGCGAAUAUGCCAAGGUACGUCAGGAGAAAUGAAUUACCCGGACUGGAGUCGUAGCUAGUUGGAAGGGGGAUGUCUCGAGGAGGGGCUGGCAAAGUGCUCCAGCCCCCAAGUCGCACUUUACUGCAAAUGCAAAAACUUUAGACAGGGAAUCAAUUGUUGUUACCUUGUUUUAUUUCGCCCAAGACACGCAACAACAAUGGAACCGUCAAAAGGGGAGAGGCCAAGAUGGAGAACACGGCUAGAAGACAUUCUAGUAAUAGUGGUUACUAGGAGUACUAAAAUGUAGCAGUAAGAUAUAAAAAGGAUAUGAGCCACCAUCAAGGAGUGCCUAUUCCUCCAACUAGCACUUAUACUUUCUUAAUAUGAAUUUAAGAUGACAAUUACAACAUAUUCCUUGUAUUUUUAUAACUAGUAGCUUGCAAAGUUAUUCGGGCAAUUAAUUUUAUGAUCGGAAAUUCAUUAUGCGAUAAGCAGUUUUUCGAGUUAGGAUCAUAAAUGUUUUAUCUUCGAAAAAGUAUUACAACGCUUCCGGGUUUCCCAAGUUAUGUGGUGCAACAAUACUGAAUAUUCAAUAUUUAAGCAAAAAUAAGGAUAAUAACUUAUCUUUGGCUAGUUUUUCUCCCAGUGUCGCUGGUAACUAGCAACAAAUGGGCAGUCGGCAGUUGGGGGCGUGACAGCAACCGUGAAAAGAACUCGAGGAUGACAGUUAUGGGUUACAAAGGCAAGGAUUGAAUCAAAUAAAUAAACGCGCAAGGUUCUCGUCAUGGAGCGCGGCUCACUGGGUCGGUUAUUAGGUGGCCAGGGGGACAGGGAGCCACCACCGAGUGGAUUUAUAUGGGAUUCGAUUGAACGGGUUGAGCUCCGACCGGGGUGGGU
ensembl:ncRNA lncRNA:CR45345 long non-coding RNA:CR45345